rnacentral:rRNA from 13 species
UGGAGGACCGAACCCACUGUCGUUGAAAAGCCAGGGGAUGACUUGUGGAUCGGAGUGAAAGGCUAAUCAAGCCCGGAGAUAGCUGGUUCUCCCCGAAAGCUAUUUAGGUAGCGCCUCGGACGAAUACCACAGGGGGUAGAGCACUGUUUCGGCUAGGGGGUCAUCUCGACUUACCAACCCGAUGCAAACUCCGAAUACCUGUGAGUACUAUCCGGGAGACACACGGCGGGUGCUAACGUCCGUCGUGAAGAGGGAAACAACCCAGACCGCCAGCUAAGGUCCCAAAGUACCAGUUAAGUGGGAAACGAUGUGGGAAGGCUUAGACAGCUAGGAGGUUGGCUU